rnacentral:rRNA from 1 species
GCGGCAAACGGGUGAGUAAUAUCUGGGGAUCUACCCAAAAGAGGGGGAUAACUACUAGAAAUGGUAGCUAAUACCGCAUAAUGUUGAAAAACCAAAGUGGGGGACCAUUCCGGCCUCAUGCUUUUGGAUGAACCCAGACGAGAUUAGCUUGUUGGUAGAGUAAUAGCCUACCAAGGCAACGAUCUCUAGCUGGUCUGAGAGGAUAGCCAGCCACACAGGAACUGAGACACGGUGCAGACUCCUACGGGAGGCAGCAGUGGGGAAUAUUGCACAAUGGGCGAAAGCCUGAUGCAGAUAUGUCCGCGUGUAUGAAGAAGGCCUUAGGGUUGUAAAGUACUUUCAGCAGGGAGGCAAGAAAUAAAGCUAAUAAUUUUAUUUUGUGACGUCACCUGAAGAAGAAGCACCGGCUAACUUCGCCCCAGCAGCCGCGGUAAUACGGAGGGUGCAAGCUCUAAUCUGAAUUACUGGGCGUAAAGAGCGAGUAGGUGGUUUUCUAAGUCAGACGUGAAAUCCAUAGGCUUAACCUAGGAACGGCAUUUGAAACCGAAAACCUAGAGUAUCGUAGAGGGAGGUAGAAUUCUAGGUGUAGCGGUGAAAUGCGUAGAUAUCUGGAGGAAUACCUGUGGCGAAAGCGGCCUCUUAAAUGAAUACUGACAUUGAGGUGAGAAAGCGUGGGGAGCAAACAGGAUUAGAUACCCUGUUAGUCCAUGCCGUAAACGAUGUCGAUUUGGAGGUUCUUUCCAUGAGAAGUGACUUCCGAAGCUAACGCAUUAAGUCGACCGCCUGGGGAGUACGGCCGCAAGGCUAAAACUCAAAUGAAUUGACGGGGGCCCGCACAAGCGGUGGAGCAUGUGGUUUAAUUCGAUGCAACGCGAAAAACCUUACCUGGUCUUGACAUCCACAAAAUUUUUUAGAAAUAAAAAAGCGCCUUCGGGAAUUGUGAGACAGGUGCUGCAUGGCUGUCGUCAGCUCGUGUUGUGAAAUGUUGGGUUAAGUCCCGCAACGAGCGCAACCCUUAUCCCCUGUUGCCAGCGGUUCGGCCGGGAACUCAGAGGAGACUGCCGGUUAUAAACCGGAGGAAGGUGGGGACGACGUCAAGUCAUCAU